GACGUAGGGUGCGAGCGUUGUCCGGAUUUAUUGGGCGUAAAGAGCUCGUAGGCGGCUUGUCGCGUCGUCCGUGAAAACCUGGGGCUCAACCCCAGGCUUGCGGUCGAUACGGGCAGGCUAGAGUUCGGUAGGGGAGACUGGAAUUCCUGGUGUAGCGGUGAAAUGCGCAGAUAUCAGGAGGAACACCGGUGGCGAAGGCGCCACUCUGGGCCGAAACUGACGCUGAGGAGCGAAAGCGUGGGUAGCAAACAGG
rnacentral:rRNA from 1 species